UUCAUGAGUUAAUCUAAGAUUACGUGUAUUUUGCACUUCCAAUUUGAUUCAGUAUUGUCCCUAAAAUUAAAAAGGAUCUUAGUACUUGCUCCUUAGGUUCAUUAGAUCAAUAAUAGUGACAACAUCCAAGUAUAUUAAUCUAAUGCAAGGUGUCAUACACUAAAAAAAGAAAAAGAAAAGGAAUAAAAAACUCAGAUACACAUCUAAGAUCUGAGCUUCUAAUGUAUAAACAUUAUAACAAAAAGAAUUGAAUUGAAGAGCAUAUGAAGGUUCAGAUAGCGAAAAGACAAUCAUAAUCACGGUAGAAAAUAUAAUGUGAAUAGAUUAUUACUGUUAAAGAAGUAAAGAAAAGAAUAGUCGUUAGGGUCCGCAUUAAAUAUAACUACAAUAGAAACAUUUGUUCCUACAACUAAUUUUGUCAAGGUAUCCAUAGCAAAAUCAUGAAAGCAUGCAAGAUUAUUGAUUAAAACUAUACAUGUUGCCUCAAAAAAGUAAUAAAAGAACUAUACAAAUAUCUAAUAUUGAAAAAUCUACACAAAGUUCAUCAAAAAACUUGAAUAACUAAGGGUCAGAAGAAUUUUCAAAUUUAAUGUGGUGCUAAUAAGAGGAAGAGGUUCCAAAUGAUGCAGAGAUAAAAUGUUUCAAGGAAUAAAUAAAUAAAAACCUAAAAGAUAAAUUUGGAAAUACAAUAAGCAUCAAACUUAAGUCGAAAAGAAAAGAUUUCCCAUCAAAUCCAAUCACAAAGAAUGUACCACACUUACAUGUAGUAGUGUAACAUAUAGCAAGACUGGUGGAUCAAUUAAAGUGAAGACUCUAGAUUAAUCAAGUCCUAAAUGAGGUACAUUCAAUUGGGUUAAAGAUUAUGCAGCUGCCUUAUGCGGCUAAUCCAUUAGGAAAUGUUGAUACUUUAGGCAACUUUUUAAAUAAUUUUUCAUUGAUAAAUUCCCUUCCUGAUUUUUGUAAUAUCAAUAUCAAAAUACAUUAUACGUAUUUCAGUAAGUUUAGCUAUAAUAGAAGAAAUGAAGAUGAAUAAUCAUAAAAUUCAUUCAAUAGAGAUAAACCUGCUCCAAGUUACCAUUGAUCUCUAUUGUACAACCUUAAAUUCAUGAAAAUACCCUUAAAGAAACAAACACAACUGUAAAAUCUAAUUAAAAGAACAAAAUAUAAAAAAGUUGAAAUGAAAAAAGUGAUGAUAUAAGUAUAAAUGUUAAUCUUAUUCUUUGUUAACAUUGUUCAGUCGAUUCUUAGAACCAUCAGACAUGAUUUUUUCUCCUGCACAUAUACAAAUUAUCAUUUGACAUAUAAAAAGUGCUAAGCUAAGUUUGCGACUAUCUGAUGGCCCAAUAUUUUAUAUUGAGAAUAGCUUGUCAAAUGACUAACAAUAUAUAUUAACCAUCUUAUCCAUCCUAAAAUACAUUUGUCGACAUCUAAUAUAUUAAUCUCAUCAAAGUCGCUCUCUUACAUUUAAAACUUUGAAUGUUAAAUAUAUAUGUACCUUUUGAUGUUUGAACUCAACACCUUCCACCAACUCCAAAAGGUGAAAGGAGGUGGAAUAAUUAGUGAUUCUCUUAGUAUACACAUUCACGACACAAUGAAGUGUUAGAACUUGUACCAUGACAUAGCCAAAGUAGAAAAUAUCUUGCAUGUAUAAAGAAAAAAAAAUUGAAAUAUAAGAUGCAGCAUACUUGAUUUAGGCAUCUGGAGUAUUCAGUAGUAGUAAAUUCAUUCAGUAACAACUUUCAAGCAACAAUCUUCUCCAUUUACCAUUUUAAUUAUAGAAAUCAGGCCCAUAGAGUUAAGGGUUAAAAAAAUUUUAAAAAAAGAAGUAGUUCAGCAACAUUAACUCUUUUAGUUUCUACCACUACCUGCCUGUACAUGACAUAUAUAGGCUUAGCUUUUAGUUUUUUUUGGAUUCGUGGUGGUUCAGAAAAGAGUAGGAAUGCUAUCAGUUACUUGUUUAACUUUUAAAAAAAAAUUGUUCAACUAAACUCAUAGAGAGUUGCGGAAAGGAUGAGAAGAAUUUCUUACCGAGUUACUUUGAAAUGCAUCGUCGAACGGGUUCUACCAACUGCAUUUGCAGUAUGGCUGACCGCAGUUCUUCGAAAGAUGCUCAACUGAAUAUUUUGUGGGAGAAACAUUUAAAAAAUUGGUAUGCAUCUAUAGAUAUUGCUGCUCAUAGAUAAUGGCAUUACCAUAUUGCCUUGAGAAAUGGUGCUUUCAUAACAUUUAUUCAAGAAAGCGACUGCCUUUGCUGUGAUGCUCUCUAGCAGGAGCCCAACCACUUAAAGUUUGAUAGAUAUCCAAUAGAAAACAUGAAGAACGUAAUAGACAACGGAGUAAGCGAAAGCAUAUAAAAUCACAUGCUAUUAUUUUAUAAGCUUGCUAAAUUAGGUAAAAGUAAGUAUCAGACAAAGAUCUCCACCAAAAAAGAACCCAAAAAAUGCCAAAAACUACAUAAAGGAAUUUCCACUAUAACAAGCAACCAAAAACACAUAAAAGUCCAUAGCAGACUAAGGUCAGAGCAUAUUACCUUGAUAUCACUUCCACAAAAAAGUAUGUAUUCAUAAAUCUUGUAUGCUGAUAAACAGACAACACUACAAAUACUGAUGAGAGAGUAAGCUCAUGUCCUAUUCCAUCCCAUUUAACCUGUACAACACAAAAACAAAAUGCAUCAAUGACCACCUAUUUAAGCUACUACAAUGUUAAUAAGAUUAAAUGCAUCAAGACACAAUUCCAUGAAGCACAUCUAGACCUAUCAGCCACUCAUACCUCCAAGGAAAUAAUCAAUAACAAGCUAAAAAUAUAUUGUGGAUUAAAUUGAUCACAUGUGUCAAGUGAACAAUAAGAAGAGAUAGAAUUUUUUUUUCUAUAUAUCUGAUUCAACUUAGUUAGUUACAUUAAUCUAAGUUGCUUGGCAAUGGAAAGGAAGCAUUGACAACUUAUCAUGAGAGCUUGAAGAAUGUUUAGAACGAAAAUCACAACACAGAAGGGGCAAUCAAAAGGAUUUCAUGUAGGGAAGGAUGACCAUGAGAAGAAACAAUGUAAUAAAAAGGAAGUCGUAAAUUUAAGGUCUCUACUAAUGAAUUGUGCACAGGUUAUUGUUACCGAUGAUUAGCACACAAAAGAACACUCCAUUCUAUAUAAUUAAAACUCAAUUCAGAUUUUCUCUAAUGCAAUCCAACAUCAUAUAAUAUUGCUAUAUUUUAGCACUGACGAAUGUCUGUAGGGCAUACCUAUAUAACAGAAAAAACAAAAUGUACAUAGGUCAUACUAAUAUAUUUACUUGUAUAAUUUGAUCAGUAUAAUAGAGUGAAGAGAAAUGACUUAACUAAGAAUCAAGCUGAUAAUGCCAUGAAACAAUAUAUCAUAAUGUAAAGACCAAAUAAGCAACAAAAUUGAUUACUCAAUUUUAUUAGAAGCAUCCAUGAGGUUCCAAAUAUUAGUUGCAUAAUUAUGAAUGCAUAUAUUUGUAGCAUAGCAUGACAACAGAGAAGAAUACAUGUAUAAUAGAGUGAAGAGAAAUGACUUAACUGAGAAUCAAGCUGAUAAUGCCAUGAAACAAUAUAUCAUAAUGUAAAGACCAAAUAAGCAACAAAAUUGAUUACUCAAUUUUAUUAGAAGCAUCCAUGAGGUUCCAAAUAUUAGUUGCAUAAUUAUGAAUGCAUAUAUUUGUAGCAUAGCAUGACAACAGAGAAGAAUACAUAUAAAUGUUGGACAAGAAUUUCUUACCAAAGUAAUACUGGCACCAGCCCACUGUAUCCAAGAAUUGUUUGGAAAGCUGAAGAAAUCAUUAUAGCUCCCUGCAACUCCUUUAUGAUUUGUUUGAAAUUCUACAAGUAGGAGAAUCUGAUUCAUAAAUGGUUGAAGUAGUAAUACGAUAAAACAAAUUGAACAGAGAGAAAAUUAAGCCACAUUAUUCUUACCUACCUUUGUGAUAUGUCAAUAUUAAUCUCAACGUUGCCUCAAUAAUAUGAAUCAUAAAAAGCUAUUAGCACUCUCUUUAUGAGUCAUUUCGAUAAAUUUAUAUGAUAUAUUAAAUAGCAUUUUUCAUUACUAUGUAAUGAGUGAAAAAAGUUCAUAAUAUUUUCAUCACUGAACAAACCACAUCACAAUAUAUGAUCAUUCGAACUUCUUUACUCUCCGCAAAUCAUAACAAAUUAAAUGAGCAUCAGCUGAUGUAUUAGAAAAGAAAAAGAUAACUACAUAUACCAAUUAAGAAGCCUGCCAUAUUUUUCUUGUUUAACUUUUUUUAAGAAAAAAAUUAUAAUCUAGAGUUGUCUAAGUCUUUGAUCAGAACUAUUCAAUCCAAUCGUAACCUAUUUUCAUAUGUGGUUGAAAAAUCUUCGUUUAGUUUCAUUAUGCAAUAUAAAAGUUAAGAACUAAAAAAAUAAACAUCCAAUGUAAUGGUAUGUUCUGCCCUUAAGCAAAUACUCUUCUACUUAGUAGUUAGUACUUACUUUAAAUUUUUCUUUCAUUAAUCAAGAUAGACACUUUGUAACUUAUUUUAUCGCUAAAUUUAUGGAAAUGUAAAUCCAAAGUUCCAACUUCCACACUAACCUCUUCUACCGCAUGCUUAACACUAUCUAAUUACAAAAAUCAAUUUAGAUAAGAUAAUAAAUCCCUCAUACAGAUUAACAGAAAAAAUAAAAUAAAAGUUGGACAAAUAUUGAAUGAGGAGUAGAACUGAAACAAUCAACACCCAACGAAGAAGUUUUUUAUUUUUUGUAGAUCACCCAACUAAGAAGUUGAAUGAACUGAAAAAGUAUUAUCUAAAAUAUAAGAAAAUUAAAAAAAAGAAAAAAAAAGAAAGGGGUAAAUCAAUCGUCUCUCUGCAAACAUGAAAAAAGUUGAAAGAAAAAAUACAUGAAAAUGUACCAUUCAACUGCGGAGAUGAAGAGAAUUGAAAGAGUAUCUUGAAAUCUGAAGAGAUUAUAAUAACUUAGGAAGAAAUCCUUGUUUGUCUGCUAGCAAAACAACAUCAAUAACAACUGAGAAAAUAGCAAGGAAAAUCCUACUUCUCCUCAACCCAAAAUUUCAGUUUCAGGUUUUCUCAACCCAAAAUUCCAAUCUACAGCAUCAACUAAGAAAUUUCGAGAAGAAGAUUUGAGCGGAGAUUGAGAAGAAGCCAUACCUUAAAUUGCAAGAAAUUCUUUAAAUUUAUUUAAGGAGAAUUGGCAUAGUACUCCUCUCUUCUCUUGGAAAAUGAAACGAACGUUUAUAGAGUAUGUGUGUCCUCCAAUGGAAGAACUCUGGAAGCUCCCAGAAUGAAAGAGACAGUUUCAGACUUUCAGUCUCCAACUUGAAAAUAUCAUGGAGUGAAA
rnacentral:lncRNA from 1 species